UACGAAGGGGACUAGCGUUGUUCGGAAUUACUGGGCGUAAAGCGCACGUAGGCGGAUUUGUAAGUCAGGGGUGAAAUCCCGGGGCUCAACCUCGGAACUGCCUUUGAUACUGCAAAUCUCGAGUCCGAUAGAGGUGGGUGGAAUUCCUAGUGUAGAGGUGAAAUUCGUAGAUAUUCGCAAGAACACCAGUGGCGAAGGCGGCUCACUGGCCCGAUACUGACGCUGAGGCACGAAAGCGUGGGGAUCAAACAGG
rnacentral:rRNA from 1 species